AGAUUGAACGCUGGCGGCGUGCCUUACACAUGCAAGUCGAACGGCAGCACGGGGGCAACCCUGGUGGCGAGUGGCGAACGGGUGAGUAAUACAUCGGAACGUGUCCAGUUGUGGGGGAUAACCAGUCGAAAGAUUGGCUAAUACCGCAUGCGCCCGAAAGGGGAAAGCGGGGGACCUGCGAGGGCCUCGCGCGGUUGGAGCGGCCGAUGUCCGAUUAGCUAGUUGGUGAGGUAACGGCUCACCCAAGGCGACGAUCGGUAGCUGGUCUGAGAGGACGACCAGCCACACUGGGACUGAGACACGGCCCAGACUCCUACGGGAGGCAGCAGUGGGAAUUUGGACAAGUGGGGGCAACCCUGAUCCAGCCAUGCCGCGUAGUCGUGAUGAAGGCCGUUCGGGUUGGUAAAGCUACUUCGGUAACGGAACGAAAGUCGACGCGGACGAAGUAACGUCCCG
rnacentral:rRNA from 1 species